rnacentral:rRNA from 1 species
UCAACGUGAGUGGCGCUCGGGUGAGUAACACGUCGGGAACGUACCUCGCAAGUACGGGAUAACUGUUCGGAAAGCGACAGCUAAUACCGUAUACGACCCUUCUUGGGGAAGAGAUUUAUCGCUUCGAGAUCGGCCCGCGUCCGAUUAGCUUGUUGGUGAGGUAACGUGCUCACCAAGGCGACGAUCGGUAGCUGGUCUGAGAGGAUGAUCAGCCACACUGGGACUGAGACACGAGCCCAGACUCCUACGGGAGGCAGCAGUGGGGAAUAUUGCGCAAUGGGGGGAACCCUGACGCAGCCAUGCCGCGUGAGUGAUGAAUGCCUGCGGGUUGUAAAGCUCUUUCAGAUGUGACGAUGAUGACUGUAACAUCAGAAGAAGCCCCGGCUAACUUCGUGCCAGCAGCCGCGGUAAUACGAAGGGGGCAAGCGUUGUUCGGAAUUACUGGGCGUAAAGAGCGCGUACGCGGCCAGAUCAGUCAGGGGUGAAAUCCCGGGGCUCAACCCCGGAACUGCCCUUGAUACUGUCGGGCUAGAAUCCGUGAGAGGGUGGUGGAAUGACCAGUGUAGAUGUGAAAUACGUAGAUAUAGGGAGGAACACCAGUGGCGAACGCGGCCACCUGGUGCGGUAUUGACGCUGACGCGCGAAAGCGUGCGGAGCGAACAGGAUUAGAUACCCUGGUAGUCCACGCCGUCAACGAUGAGUGCAUGGUGUCGGGGGUCUACGGAUCUCGGUGCUGAAGCUACCGUUUUUAAGCACUCCGUCCCUGGGGGAGUUACGGGUCCGCAAAGAAUUAAAUACCUCCAAAUGGAAAUUUGAACUGGGGGGGCCCCCGCCACAAAAGCCG